GUGUGAUAUCUUAUCGUUAUCAAUGAAGGCCAUUAAUCGUGCUGUGAGUGGGAAAGAUGACGAUUUGAUCACCUUAGACGCCUGUCGUUGAUGGUGCGGUGUGAUGACGGGUUAGAUACCUA
rfam:Anoxybacillus flavithermus WK1, complete genome.